UGGAGUUCUACCGGAGGUUGCUGGUGGACCUGGAGGGUGUUGGCAAGGGAGUGGCAGCCCUGAUCAUCACAGCCAGGUGUCUCGUUCCUGAGCUCCAAGUGUCCUCCCCAGUGCUGCUGUGUGAUGAGUGCCACCUGAAGGUGCCCUAUGAGAGGAAGAUCCUCAUUAGGAAUCCCAGCCACCUUCCUGGCUGCUACGGGCUUAUUCCCCAGAAACGCAAGGAGGACUCUGCUGUGCUCUACUCCAGCCCCAAGCCCUGUGGGAUUGUGCAGCCCCAGAGCACAGCAGAGAUCCCAGUUGUGGUGGCAGUGCAGGCCCUGGGCACUCAUCGCACCGACGUUCUC